GACGAACGCUGGCGGCGUGCUUAACACAUGCAAGUCGAACGGAAAGGCCCUGCUUUUGUGGGGUGCUCGAGUGGCGAACGGGUGAGUAACACGUGAGUAACCUGCCCUUGACUUUGGGAUAACUUCAGGAAACUGGGGCUAAUACCGGAUAGGAGCUCCUGCUGCAUGGUGGGGGUUGGAAAGUUUCGGCGGUUGGGGAUGGACUCGCGGCUUAUCAGCUUGUUGGUGGGGUAGUGGCUUACCAAGGCUUUGACGGGUAGCCGGCCUGAGAGGGUGACCGGCCACAUUGGGACUGAGAUACGGCCCAGAAUCCUACGGGAGGCAGCAGUGGGGAAUAUUGCACAAUGGGCGGAAGCCGGAUGCAGCAACGCCGAGUGCGGGAUGACGGCCUUCGGGUUGUAAACCGCUUUCGCCUGUGACGAAGCGUGAGUGACGGUAAUGGGUAAAGAAGCACCGGCUAACUACGUG
rnacentral:rRNA from 1 species